AUUGAACGCUGGCGGCAUGCCUUACACAUGCAAGUCGAACGGUAACAGGUCUUCGGAUGCUGACGAGUGGCGAACGGGUGAGUAAUACAUCGGAACGUGCCCGAUCGUGGGGGAUAACGAAGCGAAAGCUUUGCUAAUACCGCAUAAGAUCUACGGAUGAAAGCAGGGGACCGCAAGGCCUUGCGCGAACGGAGCGGCCGAUGGCAGAUUAGGUAGUUGGUGGGAUAAAAGCUUACCAAGCCGACGAUCUGUAGCUGGUCUGAGAGGACGACCAGCCACACUGGGACUGAGACACGGCCCAGACUCCUACGGGAGGCAGCAGUGGGGAAUUUUGGACAAUGGGCGAAAGCCUGAUCCAGCCAUGCCGCGUGCAGGAUGAAGGCCUUCGGGUUGUAAACUGCUUUUGUACGGAACGAAAAGACUCUGGUUAAUACCUGGGGUCCAUGACGGUACCGUAAGAUUAAGCACCGGCUAACUACGUG
rnacentral:rRNA from 1 species